GAUGAACGCUGACAGAAUGCUUAACACAUGCAAGUCUACUUGAACUUCGGUUUGGGCGGCGGACGGGUGAGUCACGCGUAAAGAACUUGCCUCACAGUUAGGGACAACAUUUGGAAACGAAUGCUAAUACCUGAUAUUAUGAUUUUAGGGCAUCCUAGGAUUAUGAAAGCUAUAUGUGCUGUGAGGGAGCUUUGCGUCCCAUUAGCUAGUUGGAGAGGUAACGGCUCACCAAGGCGAUGAUGGGUAGCCGGCCUGAGAGGGUGAACGGCCACAAGGGGACUGAGACACGGCCCUUACUCCUACGGGAGGCAGCAGUGGGGAAUAUUGGACAAUGGACCAAAAGUCUGACCCAGCAAUUCUGUGUGCACGAUGACGUUUUUCGGAAUGUAAAGUGCUUUCAGUUGGGAAGAAAAAAAUGACGGUACCAACAGAAGAAGUGACGGCUAAAUACGUG
rnacentral:rRNA from 1 species